UAAAUUGGCUCAUAAGUAAUUCAAAUAUAUAGAUUUGCAAUAAACUUCAAAAGAUAGUACGUCUUGUGUACUUACGCAUACUUAUACAACAAUAUUCUAAAUAUGUGUACACAAUUGUUCAAAAAGUACUCUUACAAUAGUUCAAUAUAUUCUAGCAAUGAAUAUAUUUCACAAAUCAAAUAUAAUGUAUUCAAACUUCUACAAUAGUUCAAAAACUCUUCAUCAUCAUCCACUUCAACUAGAUCAAGUUUACUUGUUGUGGGACCCUUCAAAUUUGAUCACCUCAAUUUCCCUACACAUUUAAAAUGAAAUUAAAAAUCAAAACAAACCAUAUACAACAAAUCUGAUUUGCAGCAGUUAUAGAAGAGGCAAGAAAUUCCAAAUUGCAUAUUGCAGCAGUUCUAGAUUGCAGAUUGUAGACUGCAGAUUUUUUGAGUUCAGGCAGCACUGUAUUAUAUCAGAUUGCAACAGAUAUAUAACAGGGGUAGCAGGAGAAAUAUCCAAAGAUAUUCUAAUGCAGACAUGUAAAUCAGGAUAGCAGUCGCACAAAACAAAGCAUGGAAAAAGAGGAAAAUCAACUCCAACCACACCAAGACACUCUACUGCAGACAAGGUAAGUCUCAUAACUAUGCUCCUAGUCAAGUUGGUAACUCUAAUUUUGAAAAUCAUUUACAACCUAUUGUAAAUGAGCAAGUCAGUCAAAAUGCUAUUCCUUUGAGACAUGAACAUAAACAAGUUGCUGUUAGUGACAACCCUUAAAAACAAAAUGUUACUGCUAACAAAAAUGAUCCUAAUAACAAAGGAAAACAGGUUGUUGUUAGUGACAAACCUCAACAACAAAGUGAAAAGUACACACAACUCAUAGACUCCAAAGAUUAGCCAUCACCUGCUUCAGCUAAAUGUCUUAGUGUUGUCCUUGUAGGAUUGUGUUUGAUUGCCAAUUUCAUGUUGGUAUAUUGGAGUAGAAGUUGUAUUAAAUUAGUAUGAGGUUGAUGAAUGAGGCCAGUUAUACUCCAUGGAGGUGCAAUGCUAUUGUUGUAUCGUUUGGUCACUUGCUCUGAGUCAACCUCAAGGAUGAUUCUGCUACAGUCGUGCUGGAUACACCAAGCCAUUCCAAUAUUGGCUGCUUCAACUUCUGCUUUAUUCUGCACCUACCUCAGAUGUGAUUUUGGCAACUGAAAAAAAAAAGAACAAACACUACUGCUCAAUUGACAAGGAAGAUUAUAUCAAGCAACUUCAGUCCUAAAAAAAUCAGUUUUGUGCAACAGAAAACCACUUCAACCUUUCAGUGGUAAUUUUCCACUAAAUUCACCACG
rnacentral:lncRNA from 1 species